rnacentral:lncRNA from 1 species
UAUCAUGUCAUUUUAUAUGUGGUGUAUGUUUGAAUUGGACUAUCGGAGGACGAAAUUCAAGUUAUCCAAAUACAAUGGAAGACGACAACCUCGACGCAGACUGAGAAUACGGUUAGUGAUUACGAUUAUCUAUCGUAGCUAAUUUAUAGGAUUAAAGGAAUGUAUGAGCAUGUAGAAUAAGUAUUGAUUAGGAUUGAACCAUGCCUUAACUAUUGAUGUUUGGUUUUAGCUUGUCUGAGUUAUGACUUAGUUGAUGUUUGGUUUUUACUUGUCGGACUGAUUGCUUCUGUAGGUUUAUCGUAAAGAUAGAAUUGUAUUUCAGAAAAUUAAAAAAACAUAAUAGAGUGAAAUGAACAAAGAGAAUUCACACGCAGGUCAAAAACUGAAGUUUUACAAUCUUAUUGAAAUGAACGUUUGAUUUAACAAAUAAUAAAAUGCAGUUUGCAUCUAUUAAAACAAUCUUUCUGAACCAGCAACCACUCUUCCACCAACACAAACCUGGAAAGAGCAAAAGUGGACAUAACACCAGUUAAAAUUAAUUUUAAUUAUUUUUCUUUAAUAGAUAUAUAAGAACAAACACAUAGGAAUCUGAACUUUUUAAAGAACACAUACAAACAUAAAACGUAUAACAUCUAAUCGAUUAGGAUCACAUAUCUUAUCCCCCGCCAGCUAAAGGUUGUCGAAAACUUCUUUAAAAACUACAUUCAUAGUUUUUUUUUGUGUUUUUCCAUCUUUGUCCACAAUCAAAAUUUUUAAUCCUUUUUUUGAAGUGAUUCUAGAAACAGCCACAUAUAGCUGACCAUGUGAAAAGAAAGGUCUUGGUAGAUACAUACCUACUUGAGAUAGUGAUUGUACUUGGCUUUUGUUGAUUGUUAUGGCAAAAGCCACAGCAAGAGGCAGUUGCAUUCUCCACAUUUUAAAAGGCAAUCUGGUGUCAGAAGGGGUUAUCAACAAUCUAGGAAUAUCAACUAUUUCCCCAACUCUUUCUCCUGUUAUAAUCCUAGCUCGAACCAUAAAAUCCAUUAGAUGUGUGAUCUGCAAUCUGGUGCCAUUCAUUAAGCCGUCUGUAGGAGCUAUGUUUCUCAAACCAUAACAGGACAACCAACCUUCAGUCUAAGACUAUGGUUUGGUAAACCAGAAACCUUAAUAGUGUUCAGAAAAUCAGAACUAAGUGCUUCAUUGUUUACUGAAUUUGUAUCUGAAGGAUCAAUACUAUCAGCACUGUUAUAAAUUUUUUCCUCACCUGAAAUUGAAAACAUAUUUUAGGAGAAUUAGACUUACAAAUAUAGUGGACGCAGAAACAAUAAGUGAAGAAUAGAAAUUUACCAUUUAGCUUAUCCAACAUAUAAUCAUUAACAAUAUUCAUAUCCUCAUUGGUUGGACAAAGAAUAGCUCUCUCUUGGAAAACUUGGCCUCUUUUUUUUCAUGCAAUGUUGUUGAAUCACCAUAAAUAGCUUUGCGGAUUGCUUCUAUAGGAUCAUCUGACUUGGUAAUAAGAAAUUCAGUGGGUAUUUCAACCUCUGCUUCCCCAUCAUUAGGCUCAGAAAGUUUACCAUCUUCAACUUUCAAAAUCCACUCUGAAAAUUCUUUUAGAUCCUUUGACUCUUCAAGUGAUAAACCACCAGAGAGCUAUCUCAUAUUCUUAGUCAAAUUAAGCACUUUGCAGUUAUCCCAUAGAUAUGAAGAGUUAAGUGUGGCCAUAACAAUUUCAGCUCUACCAGCUCCAUUUAUAACAGGCAAGACCUGCCUAAAAUCGCCUCCGAAACAACAACUUUUCCCUCAAAUGGCUGUGUGUCGUGCUUUCCCACAAUAUCAGAUAAACUUCUGUCCAACGCUUCAAAACAAUGCUUGCUCAUCAUAGGCGCUUCAUCCCAGAUAACAAGUGAUGAUGCUUUCACUAAAUUAGAUUGGUCAGUUCCAUGCUUCCUAGUACAUGAGGAAAACUCAUAUGGAUUUAGAGGAAUACCGAAUCUUGAAUGAGCUGUCCGACCGCCUUGCAACAACAAUGAUGCGAUGCCACUUGAAGCCACGUUUAGAACAAUAUCUCCUCGAGAUCUAAUGGCUGCAGAUAGCAAUUUCCAGAGGAAAGUUUUCCCAGUUCCACCAAAACCGCUAACAAAAAACAAUCUCUAGUAAAGCAUACUUCUUUUUUUUCGUCAUCGCUCAGCAAUAGACCUAAAAUUAAAAUAAAAAGGACAGGUGUUGGGGUCAAAAACGGUUACGACAAAUUUAACAUUUAAAACGUCCGAGGAAGAAAAUAAGAAUUUCUCCGAAGAGUACUUUUCGAAAUAGAUUCUUCCUUACGAAAAAGCUUUACGGAAGAAAGAAUCGAGAUGUCCGACGAAAGAUCGAAACAUGUCGUUACGCCGCGACCAAACGUCCGUCCCGCUCGGUCGCUACGUAGCGACUGAGCGAUCGUCCCGCUCGGUCGCUACGUAGCGACCGAGCGAUCAUCCCGCUCGGUCGCUACGUAGCGACCGAGCGAUCAUCCCGCUCGGUCGCUACGUAGCGACCGAGAUCGAGCCAAAGCUCGGUCGCUACGUAGUGACCGAGCGCUUGUCCCGCUCGGUCGCUACGUAGUGACCGGGCUAGAGCCGAAGUUCGGUCGCUGUGUAGCGAUUGAACUCUUCCGAACAUCGACAUACAUCAAUCCAUGCAUUCUCGUCAAACCUUCGAAUGCUAUCUCCCGAAAACCGUAGCAAGUUCAGUCCAUGUUUUCCGCUAUUCUAACUCAUCGAUCAAACUUCGCGGAUUAGAAACCGCGGAAGGUUCGUUCUUUAUCAAAAAGAUAUCGUAGUAAACGUGUCGAGUCGGAAGACGGCCUAAAGGGACCUAAAACAAGACUCGAGGCCCAUCCUACGAUUUCUUAACCAAAAGCCUGUAAAUCGCAGCACGGUUUACGCUUGGCCCACAAGGAAGGAUAAAUGUCAAGUUUCGCGGAUAAAUACGGAAGUUUUGAAGAUAAUUGUGAAGAUCGGGAAAAAUGGAAUAUCUCCAUUUUUAUGCUAUGACGACUUAAGGGCAGAAGAGUAAAAGCGUAAACCGACCUUGGAGCUAGUAUAUAAGGAGUCCUAGGCGAGGAGCAUGAAAGGAGAACUUUUUCAGAGCAAACUUAGCACUUAGAGCAAUUUAGGCAAUUUUCCGUUUUUGUUAUUUCGAGCUGCGACUCAAUUAGGUUUAGCCGUCUUAGGGUUACUAGAACUAGGAAUCUCGCCGAUAGCUCUCGAGCCCAGGCUUAUACCUUGUUGUAAACAGCCGUACGCAAAUUCGGAAUAAGAUCUUCUUUGCUCUCUUUUUCGAUUUCUUAUACUUUAUCGUUGUUAUUCUCGUGUUCUGAUUGCUUGACGUGUGGUAAUUAGCAGAUAUCCGGGUCCUCUGGGAAAUUAGGGUUUUCCUAAUUUCCUUAUUUAAACGUAAAUCGACAGUGCGAAUUUCGGUUCCCACUGUUUGGCGCUAAAAGGAGGGGGACUUACGGAUCAAUCUAACCCGCAAUAGCCACUCAACGAUCAAGAACGGUAUGCAAGAUUCGAUGUGUGCGAACAUCAUCUCAUUCAAGGGGGGAGAAACGAUUGAUCGAGCCAAACCUCGAAACGAUCUCCUUGUUAUUGAGUUGACGAUUCGAGAUAUCAACGUCGCUAGAGUGCUAAUCGAUACCGGAAGCUCGGCCGAUAUCAUCUUCAAAGACACUCUUGAAAAGAUGGGGAUCAAUCAAUCCGAAGUCACGAAAUGCCCAAGCCCACUGCUAGGACUUUCGGGGGAAACGACCAUGGCCUAUGGAUCGAUUAGACUCGCUGUCAAAGCCGGAACCGUGACCAACGUCACAGAGUUUCUAGUCGUUGACCGCCCCGCAUCUUACAACGUUAUCAUGGGAACGCCAUGGCUGAACACCAUGCGCGCAAUCCCAUUAACCUACCAUCUUUGCCUCAAGUUCCCGACCCCUAGCGGAGUCGAGGUAAUUUGGGGAAAUCCGAGAGUUUCACAGGUUUGUUUCGCCGCGGAACUAAAACGAAAGAGACCGAUCCUCGAAAUCACUCCUAGAAAAGCGGAGAAAAAGACCUCCAGGAAAGAUACACGAAGUCAGGAUUCAGCGGAAUUCUUCUGGCAGUCUCGCAGCAUCGCAGCUCUAGAUGAAAAACGCGAGCCAACGUGCGAACCCGUGGUAACGAUCUGUCUCGACGAAGCCUUCCCAAAACGCUGCAUCGAGAUUGGAGCCAAUCUCCAUGAGCCUUUAAGGACAGAACUCAUAACCUGUCUUAAAAAGAACCUUAUUACUUUCGCAUGGGCUGCGGAAGAUAUGCCGGGAAUCGACAUUAACAUAACAUGUCACGAGCUGAAUAUCGACCCAACGUUCAAACCCGUCAAACAGAAAAGAAGGAAGCUAGGACCCGAACGUGCUGCCGCAGUAAACGAUGAGGUCGAAAAAUUGCUUAAAGUUGGGUCGAUAACAGAAGUAAGAUACCCGGACUGGCUCGCCAACCCCGUAGUAGUCAAGAAGAAGAACGGGAAGUGGCGAGUUUGCGUGGAUUUUACCAACCUAAACAAGGCAUGUCCAAAGGAUAGCUUCCCUCUACCACAUAUCGAUCGAUUGGUAGAAGCAACAGCGGGCAACGAACUCUUAUCCUUCAUGGAUGCCUUCUCAGGUUAUAAUCAAAUUAGGAUGAAUCCCGACGAUCGUGAGAAGACUGCGUUCAUUACCGAUCGCGGAACUUAUUGCUAUAAGGUAAUGCCCUUCGGCCUCAAAAACGCUAGUGCAACUUACCAACGACUCGUGAACCGAAUGUUCUCCAAACAACUCGGAAAAACGAUGGAGGUUUAUAUCGACGACAUGCUCGUCAAAUCCCUCAAAGCAAGAGAUCACGUGUCACAUCUGGAAGAAUGUUUUGCACAACUAAACUCCCAUAAUAUGAAGCUCAACCCAACAAAAUGUAGAUUCGCCGUGGCAUCAGGGGAAUUCCUCGGCUACUUGGUCACAUACCGCGGCAUCGAAGCAAAUCCAAAACAGAUCAACGCACUAAUCGAGAUGGCUUCACCAAAGAAUAAGCGGGAAUUCCAAAGACUGACCGGCAGAAUCGCAGCGCUUAACCGAUUUAUUUCACGAUCAACAGAUAAGUGCCUGCCCUUCUACGACGUCCUGCGAGGAAAUAAAAAAUUCGAAUGGUCGGAAGAAUGCAAAAACACCUUCCAACAGCUGAAGCGUUAUUUAGCUACUCCUCCAGUCCUCGCAAAACCCGUGGAAGGGGAGCCUUUAUUCUUGUACAUCGCUGUGUCGGCAACGGCCGUAAGCGGAGUCCUGAUCAGGGAAGAACGCGGGGAGCAGAAACCUAUUUUUUACAUAAGCAAAACCUUGCUGGAUGCCGAAUCUAGGUAUCCGUUGAUGGAAAAAUUGGCAUGCGCGGUCGUAACAUCGGCCCAAAAACUAAGACCAUAUUUCCAAUCCCACACAAUCGUCAUCCUCACGACUUUUCCCUUACGGACAAUUUUGCAUAGCCCAAGUCAAUCAGGCCGACUGGCUAAGUGGGCGGUCGAGUUAAGCGAGUAUGACAUCGAAUACCGACCAAGGACGAGGGCAAAAUCACAAGUGCUCGCAGAUUUCUUGGUCGAUCUUCCAACGGGAACAAUAACCAAUGAUGAACCAAAUUCCACCUGGCUCCUCCACGUCGACGGAUCCUCAUCCAAGCAAGGAUCAGGAAUCGGAAUCUGUCUCACAUCUCCAACGAGCGAGAUUUUGGAACAAUCGUUCAGGCUGGAAUUCCAUGCCUCAUACAACGAGGCCGAAUACGAAGCAUUAAUCGCGGGUCUACGUUUGGCUCACGGCUUAAAAAUACGUAAUCUCCACGCUUACUGCGACUCCCAGUUAGUGGCCAGUCAAUUCAGCGGAGAGUAUGAAGCCAGAGACGAAAGGAUGGACGCGUACCUCAAACUUGUCCAAGGUCUAGCUCAAGACUUCGACUGUUUCGCCCUUACCCGGAUCCCCCGUUCCAAGAAUGUCCAGGCGGACGCCCUCGCGGCCCUAGCAUCAAGUUCCGAUCAAGGACUCAAAAGGGUAAUUCCGGUCGAAUUCAUCGAAAAUCCGAGCAUCGGACCACCAAUCGUCGUCAAUCUCAUAGAGGGUCAAGACGACGAGGAAGAAAAAAUUACGAUAUCACCACCAUCGGAGCGAUCUGAGCACGGCUGUGAUACCCCAUGGCUUCAGACGAUUUGAGACUACAUUGUCGAUGGGCAACUGCCCGCCGAAAAAUGGGCAGCUCGCAAGUUCCGAACACAUGCCGCACGCUACGUAACAGUGGAUGGUGAAAUCUACAAAUGGAGAUUCUCCGGACCACUCAUGACGUGCCUGGAAGGAGAAAAGGCGAGAAAAGUAAUGGAGGAAAUACAUUCCGGCGGAAGAUCACUAGCCAUGAAAAUCAAACGCCAUGGAUACUAUUGGCCAACAAUGAUCGGAGAUUGCGAGAAAUUCGCACGAAAAUGCGAAAAAUACCAAAGGCAUGCACCAACCAUCCGACAACCGGCCGAAGUUCUUUCCUCCAUCACAUCGCCUUAUCCCUUUAUGCGCUGGGCCAUGGAUAUUGUCGGACCUCUGCAUAAUUCAAAGCAAAAGCAUUUCCUUCUAGUCCUUACCGAUUUUUUUCUCAAAAUGGGUAGAGGCGGACUCAUACGCAAGUAUAAAAGACGUCCAAGUCGAGAAUUUCGUAUGGAGAAACAUCGUCUGUUGGCAUGGAGUUCCUUACGAGAUCGUAACCGAUAACGGGUCUGAGUUCAUCUCCACCCGAUUCGAGGCAUUCUGCGAAAAAUGGAAGAUACGACUCAACAAGUCAACCCCCAGAUAUCCGCAGUGCAACGGACAGGCUGAAACAAUCAACAAGACCAUUCUCGACGGACUGAAGAAACGCUUAGAGGCCAAAAAAGGCAGAUGGGCCGACGAACUCGAGGGAGUCCUCUGGUCUCACCGUACCACCCCAAGGCGAGCAACGGGAGAAACGACCUUCGCUCUGGUAUACGGCACGGAAUGCAUGAUUCCCGCAGAAGUAGAAUUUCCCGGUGUUCGAAGAAGGUUAUUACCCGAACGAGAGGAACUCAACGAUGCUAUGCUCUUGGAUGAUCUCGUCCUCAUUAACGAACGCCGAGAUCGACCGCUCAUCCGAAUUCAAAACUACCAGCACGCCGCUGCAAAAUACUAUAAUUCCAACGUACAGAAUCGUAGGUUCAAUCAGGGAGAUCUGGUCCUUCGCAAAGUCUUCCAAAACACCGCUGAACGAAACGCGGGAAAACUCGGAGCAAACUGGGAAGGUCCCUAUAAAAUCGAAAAAAACGUCCGACCAGGUUCUUACGAAAUAGCCAACAUGCAGGGCAUAAAAAUCCCUAGAACCUGGAACGCGAUGCAUCUCAAAAAAUACUAUCACUAAAUAAACCAACUCGCAAUCACUGAACUACGGGACGGCUUGAUCUACGCAAAGAGUACGUAGGCAAUUUGUCGAAAGGCAAAUUCAGCUGUCCCCCCUCAUUAAAAAGGGGGGGGGGAGUUGGUACGUAUACUCGCAUACUCCCAAAAAAAUCAAAAAAACUUCUUACCACGCUCUUGGUGUUUUUGACUUAUCAAAACAUCCUCACCCGUAAAAUCAGAACGAGGUCUUCAGAAAUUAGUCGGCCGCUUAGGAGACGUCGCAAAAGAUGCCUCAACGUUUAUUUCUUCCGAGCAAACGAAACCUCCGUAACAAAAAAGACAUAUAUAUGCACACACUAACACUUAUUUUGCGCAAAAUAUUCAAAACAACGGCACACGCCACCAAGUCCGAUGCUGAUCACAUCGAACUCACAAACGUCCUAAACAGACAUAGCCAUCUCACGGAGAUGACUCUCUUACAUCCGACACAAGGAUAAUAGCGUUAUAAAAGAAAUCCAAAAUUUUGGUCUAGCACUUCCGGUCUCCGGAGAGAUGCUCGAUUCAUAUCAAACAAGUCGUAUAAGCCGAGAACCUAUCGCGGACUUUACAUCGAUACGAAUCAGGAAGAAAUCGCGACAGGAAAAACGAUAGCCAGUUAGUCACCGCACAAUCCUUAAACCGAAAGUAAACCUAGGUCUUGCCCUAAACCCAGCGCACUGGUCUCUAACAUCUCAAUGACAUGAUAUCUAAAGAUAAGAGAUUCUUAAACUAUGCCUCUAUGUUUAUGUUUGACACCUUCAGCACCCACGCAGAGUUCACAUCUCGCGGAAGAACUCUCGAAACAGAUCUCGAAUGAAAUAUUUCACAAUCGAAGAAGGAUAUGAGACGACAACUCAUCACCUUCCUCCCCACUAUUCACAAACUCAUAAAAAGCGUUAUCCGAUUAUCGUACCAUAAAAAGAAAGCCGCGGAGCGGCAGGGAUUCAAAGCCACACACGGCCAGUCCCGAAAUACAAACAAGGCCAUUUAAGGCCGAAACAUAAAAACAUAAAAAAAAUCUCUCGCAAGAGAUCUAACCCAAGUCAUCCUCAGAACUUACGCCCCCUCUUCACCCGCUGCCGCGUCCGAGCCUGGAGCCGCGCCACCUCCGUUUUCUCCGACAUCGGGUCUUUCCCUCUGGGUCUUCUGAACAUGUCGGAAGGAAGCACGCGGAUUUCAGGUCGGCCAGGAUGAGACCGAAAUCUCCAUCCUCGGCCGCCAUAUCUCCCUUGCAGCCGGACAGCCGGGCCUCUUCGGCCUCCAAGGUCGGGGGAGUCUCACUUUGGAACGACCGAACCACGACCAUCCCACCCUCAAUCGUCACCAAAGCUAGAUCCCUGCUCCGGAUACACUCGAGGGAACCCAGGGAAGCAGAAACCUUUGCCAAGCGAGCUUGAAACUCCGCGCGAAGGGUAUCCGUAGCCUCUUGGAUCCCACGGCGCGCUAGCCCCGCGUCACUCUCGAUCUGACGCUGGAGUCGACGCACCUCCGAGGAUUUGGCCUUCCUGGCCUUCUUUUCCUUAAGCAAGGAACUCGCCGUCUUCCCAAGGUCCCUCUCAAGCUCUCCUAUCACAACCUCGAGCUUCGACACUUUCGCAGAGUGAGAGUCCUCCACAGCCAUCAACAUGGCCUCGGUUUCGGACCAUCUGCCCUGAAGCUCCACCAACUCCCCGGAAAGGCGACUGGUCUCAGAACCACAUUCGCUGAUCAUCCCAUCGAUCAACGAUAUGAACUGGGAACGGUGAAAAUUCUUAAGACUAAGUCCGAGAAAAGAAUGCACAAAAGACGAUCGAGAAUUCAAACAAGAGACAAACCUUUCCGCGAAGUCCCGAUGCUAGGCUCGAUCCACCUCGCUGCGAAGUCUCCCCGUCACCACUCUUGGCAAGUUUCCUCUUCCGACUCUUAGGCUGAGUAGCUAGGACAGCGCUAGGAGCACGCAAUGCCAGAACGAUUUCUUUUCUGGCUGGAGGAGGAGGCAUAGAGUCAGCAGCCUUCUCCUUGUCCUCGACGAGGAUCGGAGUCGUGGAAGAUCCCGCAGGUAGGGCUUGCGGGAGAGGAGCCAUGACUUCGGUCCCAUGACACGGGGCAACGACCUGCACGGAAGAAGAUGGAAACUCGGAGCCAGCUUGAGCUAGUUCUUUCUCGGCUUGGCGACGAACCAGUUUCUCUCGGAAAGAAAGAUGACCGGCAACACAAGCCGGCGCUUCCGCUGGAGAAGUUAGAACCGGAGCCGGAGAAGUGGCCUCGCCCAUCUCGACAUCAGAAUCCUUCUUAUCACCUUGGGAGGAAGACAUGUUGAAAGGAAAGUUAUGAAACUAGAGAGGUUUUUGAAGGAAUGAAGAAGGGAAGGUGUGAAGAAAAUGAAUGACAAGAGCUCACUACGUAUAGAAGUAUGGGUUCGGAAUAUCGUCGCGACAACUUUUUUCCGCGGAGUUUAAAAUGUGAAUUUCGUCUAAUACACUUAAACUUGUCAAAGUCAUCUAUCCGCCCGCUAGAGUCACAACUCUAACGGGCUGGGGGGCAAACUGUUGGGGUCAAAAACGGUUACGACAAAUUUAACAUUUAAAACGUCCGAGGAAGAAAAUAAGAAUUUCUCCGAAAAGUACUUUUCGAAAUAGAUUCUUCCUUACGAAAAAGCUUUACGGAAGAAAGAAUCGAGAUGUCCGACAAAAGCUCGAAACAGGUCGUUACGCAGCGACCGAACGUCCGUCCCGCUCGGUCGCUACGUAGCGACCGAGCGAUCGUUCUGCUCGGUCGCUACGUAGCGACCGAGCUCGAGCCAAAGCUCGGUCGCUACGUAGCGACUGAGCGAUAGUCCCGCCCGGUCGCUACGUAGCGACCGAGCUCGGCCAAGCUCGGUCGCAACGUAGCGACCGGGCUCGAGCCGAAGUUCGGUCACUGUGUAGCGAUUAAACUCUUCCGAACAUCGACAGACAUCAAUCCAUGCAUUCUCGUCAAACCUUCGAAUGCUAUCUCCCGAAAACCGUAGCAAGCUCAGUCCAUGUUUUCCGCUAUUCUAACUCAUCGAUCAAACUUCGCGGAUUAGAAACCGCGGAAGGUUCUUUCUUUAUCAAAAAGAUAUCGUAGUAAACGUGUCGAGUCGGAAGACGGCCCAAAGGGACCUAAAACACGACUCGAGGCCCAUCCCAUGAUUUCUUAACCAAAAGCCCGUAAACCGCAGCACGGUUUACGCUUGGCCCACAAGGAAGGAUAAAUGUCAAGUUUCCGCGGAUAAAUACGGAAGUUUUGAAGAUAAUUGUGAAGAUCGGGAAAAAUGGAAUAUCUCCAUUUUUAUGCUAUGACGGCUUAAGGGCAGAAGAGUAAAAGCGUAAACUGACCUUGGAGCUAGUAUAUAAGGAGUCCUAGGCGAGGAGCAUGGGGGAGAACUUUUUGAGAGCAAACUUAGCACUUAGAGCAAUUUAGGCAAUUUUCCGUUUUUGUUAUUUCGAGCUGCGACUCACUUAGGUUUAGCCGUCUUAGGGUUACUAGAACUAGGAAUCUCGCCGAUAGCUCUUGAGCCCAGGCUAUAUUUUGUUGUAAACAGCCAUACGCAAAUUCGGAAUAAGAUCUUCUUUGUCUCUUUUUCGAUUUCUUAUACUUUAUCGUUGUUAUUCUCGUGUUCUGAUUGCUUGACAUGUGGUAAUUAGCAGAUAUCUGGGUCCUCUGGGAAAUUAGGGUUUUCCUAGUUUCCUUAUUUAAACGGAAAUCGACAGUGCGAAUUUCGGUUCCUACAACAGGCAAACAAAUAAAAUUAUUAGUUGCUUGCAGGACUAUCAUGUAGCAUUAUAGAAGUUUACUAUGCAAAAAAUAAAUGUUGACCUGGUCUAUUGAAAUUUUUUUCUCCUGCAGUGCUCUAUAUCUUCAGACAAAACCUCCCAAGUGUGUUCCCAUACAGUUUCCGGCUCAGAUAAAGUGUUACUCAUAAGCAUCAUAACAAAAAAAAUUCGUAGCUCACUUGCUGUGCUUUCAUAACUUCUUCUUAGUAUGUCAUCAAUGUAUUCCUGAUCAUCAUCUAAUAACCCA